rnacentral:rRNA from 1 species
GACGAACGCUGGCGGCGUGCUUAACACAUGCAAGUCGAGCGAUGAAGCACCUUCGGGUGUGGAUUAGCGGCGAACGGGUGAGGAACACGUGAGGAAUCUGCCUUCCACUCUGGGAUAACUCCGGGAAACCGGGGCUAAUACCGGAUACUUUCAACUGGCGGCAUCGCCGGUUGAAGAAAGUUUUUCGGUGGAAGAUGACCUCGCGGCCUAUCAGCUUGUUGGUGAGGUAAUGGCUCACCAAGGCGACGACGGGUAGCCGGCCUGAGAGGGCGACCGGCCACACUGGGACUGAGACACGGCCCAGACUCCUACGGGAGGCAGCAGUGGGGAAUAUUGGGCAAUGGAGGAAACUCUGACCCAGCGACGCCGCGUGAGGGAUGAAGGCCUUCGGGUUGUAAACCUCUUUCAGCAGGGAAUAAGCGAAAGUGAAGGUACCUGCAGAAGAAGCACCGGCUAACUAUGUGCCAGCCGCCGCAGUAA